rnacentral:lncRNA from 1 species
AAAAAAAGAUCCCUGUCUGGCUGACUCUACUUGCCAUUUAAUCUAACCCAUUCACUAUCUCUUCAAAAUUCAUUUUGAUUUCUACAGAGAAUUAACUGUUACAAAAUGGCACAUAUUAAGUGAAGAUACAGUGAGAAAUAGAGAAGGAAUAUAAAAGCGGCUUUUCCAUUUUUUUUCUCCAUUGAAAGACAAUUCAUAUUUUGCUCAAAAUUUGGAGAAAAAGAAGAUGGGAAGUUUCAAAAUUGCUAAAGCCGUGACUCACACAAUCUAUUGAUUCUUAAAUGAGAAGAGAAGAAUUUUACUUCCCCGGAGCAGGAAGAAUCCAAAAAUAUUUGAGAAGAAUAGUAAUCGCUAAAAGCUUAGAGCAAAGCUACAGAAAAUAUAGUCGAAGAAAUUAUAUUGUUGAAAGUUGCCAACAAGAGAUAGCAUAUGAUUGUUUCAGUCACAUACAAUAAUAUCAAAUAAAGAAAAAACACUAUGUAGCGUGUAAGGAGCCUUUUCAAUUAUACUUAUUCUAAAAGGUAUAUAUUAACUUUGGCAUUUGACAAAAAUUUAUCAACUGUGGAUCUAGUUGGGGACUGUUUAAAUAUUCACUGAAGAAGGAUGAGGAGAAAUGUGGGUAAAGGAGCCGCUUGGGCAGGGCCAGCCAGUGGGGGCUGUGGCUGGGCUUGGUAGGGAGAACUGGAAUGAUCUCAUUGUGAGACUGAAGGAGACACUGGGAAACUAGAGUGGGAUCUCAGAUUGGGUGAGCUGUAAAAUCCAAUCCGGAGACCCGAGAAGUCUGAACGGUUUGGCAUUAAAGGAGGGUUCAAAAGCUCUCAAAUCCGAAGUGGUCUUUGAAGCUGGAACUGGGUGGCAAGAGAGAGUUGCAGAGAGCAACAGUCAGGAAUAGGCAGGAGUGGCUUUGAGCAAUUGCCUGAAAUAGAUUUUGUUUUCAAGCUGUUUUCUAUGUACCAGCCACAGCCUGAAGCAUGGCUUUUAGAGCCAGGAGUAGGAUGCAUAAAGCCUCAGUAAAUGUUACCAAAUUGUCCUCCAGAAUGAUUUCACCAAUCUAUGUUCCCACCAACAGAGAAUGCGUGUACUUCCUCACUACUUUCUUUGCCAGGAUAAAAAUUAAAUCCUUUAAUUCUUUUUCUUAUUUUGCCAAAUUGGUAAAGGAAAAAAAAAAAAGAUAUUUUGCAUUUAAUUUGCAUUUUUAAAUUACCAAUAAACACAUGUUUUAUAUAUCUUUAUUGGAAUAUAUUUAUUAUAUUUAAAUAUAAGUUGAUUGUAAAUUAUAA